UGUUGAUCGUAGUCGUAGCCUUCUCAACCUCGAGUAUUUGUGCUGGUCGGACCUAGAGCAGCUGAGCAAGGGGUCUUCCGGUGGUCAGCUUUGUGUUCCAUGGGCUUCUUGUCCUUCUUUUCUGCUGAUUUUAUAUCCAACUCAUCUCCGCCUGGAUUCAAUUGUUAAUGUAGAAAUUCAUUGGCUUCAUUUUGCUUCGAUGAAAAGAAAAGGCCACACUAAGCCACAGGAAAAUAAAAAAAAUCGAAAAGGAGAAUAACCCGCAGACACAAUCGGCGUCUAAUAUUGUUGACUGAGAAAAUACUAGCACAAUACCCUUGCGUUACUGCGGAAUAAAACAAUAUAUGUUUAAAGAUAAUAUUGUAACACCAUGCAUUAUGGUAGAUCAUAUAAUCCACAUUCGUUUCCAUGUGAAUGAUUUACGCCAAGUCAACAUGUGUCGGAAAAUGAAGUUAUGUUGUCCAAAGGUACAUACAAACCAACUUAAAA
rnacentral:lncRNA from 1 species